rnacentral:lncRNA from 1 species
CGAUAUGAUACUUUUUCCAUGAAACCAAGUAGCGCGUGUACUUGGCGUCUUUCUUGUAUAUUUUCAAAAAGAAAAGAGUACAGUCCAUGUUACACGCCGACGUUAUAAACAGCAGCAACUAGAAAAGGUACAACAGUAAAAAGAAAUUUAGUAAGGGCAAUAAAAAUGGACUUGACACCGAUAACGCUUCAACAAUGUAAUCACAGUAAUACCUGAGAAAAUAAAGUGGAGCAGUGUGCAC